rnacentral:rRNA from 1 species
GACGAACGCUGGCGGCGUGCUUAACACAUGCAAGUCGAACGGAAAGGCCCUGCUUUUGUGGGGUGCUCGAGUGGCGAACGGGUGAGUAACACGUGAGUAACCUGCCCUUGACUUUGGGAUAACUUCAGGAAACUGGGGCUAAUACCGGAUAGGAGCUCCUGCUGCAGGGUGGGGGUUGGAAAGUUUCGGCGGUUGGGGAUGGACUCGCGGCUUAUCAGCUUGUUGGUGGGGUAGUGGCUUACCAAGGCUUUGACGGGUAGCCGGCCUGAGAGGGUGACCGGCCACAUUGGGACUGAGAUACGGACCAGAGUGCUACGGGGGGCAGCAGUGGGGAAUAUUGCACAAUGGGCGGAAGCCUGAUGCAGCAACGCCGCGUGCGGGAUGACGGCCUUCGGGUUGUAAACCGCUUUCGCCUGUGACGAAGCGUGAGUGACGGUAAUGGGUAAAGAAGCACCGGCUAACUACGUG